UGCCAGCAGCCGCGGUAAUACGGAGGGGGCUAGCGUUGUUCGGAAUUACUGGGCGUAAAGCGCACGUAGGCGGAUUAGUAAGUUAGGGGUGAAAUCCCGGGGCUCAACCCCGGAACUGCCUCUAAUACUGCUAGUCUUGAGUUCGAGAGAGGUGAGUGGAAUUCCGAGUGUAGAGGUGAAAUUCGUAGAUAUUCGGAGGAACACCAGUGGCGAAGGCGGCUCAAUGGCUCGAUAAUGAAGCUGAGGUGAGAACUUGUGGGGCGCAAACAGUAUUAGAUC
rnacentral:rRNA from 1 species